UGCAAAGUCGUAAGACGAAGUAUAGGGUCUGACGCCUGCCCGGUGCUGGAAAGUGAACAGGAGGUGUACAUGCACCGAAUCUAAGCCCCAGUAAACGGCGGCCGUAACUCUGACGGUCCUAAGGUAGCGAAAUUCCUUGCCAUUUAAUUGGUGGCCUGCAUGAAUGGCGUAACGACUCCCCCGCUGUCUCCAACGGAGACCCAGUGAAAUUGAAACGUCCGUGAAGAUGCGGACUUUAUACAGCUAGACGAGAAGACCCCGUGCACCUUGACUACAACUUUACUUUGUAUGCAUUACUAACAUGUACAGGAUAGGUGGGAGCCUGUGAAGCAAAGCCGCCAGGUUUUGUGGAGGCAUCCUUGAAAUACCACUCUUGUUAGAUUUUGUGACUCACCCAACUAUUGCCAAUCAAUAGUGGAGACCGAGUAUGGAUGGUAGUUUGACUGGGGCGGUCGCCUCCUAAAGAGUAACGGAGGCGUGCAAUGGUAAACUCAAGUUGGUUUUUAUCAACUGUAGAGCGCAAUAGCAUAUGUUUGCCUGACUGCGAGACAGACAUGUCGAGCAGGGACGAAAGUCGGUUAUAGUGAUCCGGUAGUUCCUUGUGGAAGGACUAUCGCUCAACGGAUAAAAGGUACGCCGGGGAUAACAGGCUAAUAACCCUUAAGAGCCCAUAUCGAUGGGGUUGUUUGGCACCUCAAAUACAUCGGGGCUUUUGGAAAGAAAUUUCUAGAGAAUGCAUCUAGCUAUAUGCGGGGACAUCUUAAAUGACAAUCCGCAAGGAACCAAACCAAACUUUAAAUUAACUUUAAAAGUCCCUGGAAGUAGGGCCUUCAACGACUACACGCUAGACUUCCUAACUUAUGAAGGAAGAUGAUAUAGUCUUAUCUAAUGGGUAACUAUUAGUUUUUAAAAUAUAUAACCAAAUUAUUGAAAAUGUCUAAUUAUAAAAAAUCUUUUGAAACUAAACUUAACACAGACCACUCACCUGAGGGUCUACAUGAAGGAAAACUCUAUGACCAACCAUUUAUCUUCGCUUCUGGGAAUACAGAUGACUCGUUUAAAUACAAUUUGCCUGUGUUC
rnacentral:rRNA from 1 species